AUGAACGCUGGCGGCGUGCCUAAUACCUGCAAGUCGAGCGAACAGACGAGGAGCUUGCUCCUCUGACGUUAGCGGCGGACGGGUGAGUAACACGUGGAUAACCUACCUAUAAGACUGGGAUAACUUCGGAAAACCGGAGCUAAUACCGGAUAAUAUAUUGAACCGCAUGGUUCAAUAGUGAAAGACGGUUUUGCUGUCACUUAUAGAUGGAUCCGCGCCGCAUUAGCUAGUUGGUAAGGUAACGGCUUACCAAGGCAACGAUGCGUAGCCGACCUGAGAGGGUGAUCGGCCACACUGGAACUGAGACACGGUCCAGACUCCUACGGGAGGUAGCAGUAGGGAAUCUUCCGCAAUGGGCGAAAGCCUGACGGAGCAACGCCGCGUGAGUGAUGAAGGUCUUCGGAUCGUAAAACUCUGUUAUUAGGGAAGAACAAAUGUGUAAGUAACUAUGCACGUCUUGACGGUACCUAAUCAGAAAGCCACGGCUAACUACGUG
rnacentral:rRNA from 1 species